CACGCCGUAAACGAUGAUCACUAGCUGUUGGCGAUAUACCGAUCAGCGGCAAAGCAAAAGCAUUAAGUGAUCCACCUGGGGAGUACGGCCGCAAGGCUGAAACUCAAAGGAAUUGACGGGGGCCCGCACAAGCGGAGGAACAUGUGGUUUAAUUCGAUGAUACGCGAGGAACCUUACCUGGGCUUAAAUGUAGAGUGCAUUUCCGGGAAACCGGAAUUUUCUUCGGAACCCUUUACAAGGUGC
rnacentral:rRNA from 1 species